GGAAGUAUGUUAAAGUUAUUAUUAUUUUGGAAUGAAGAACACAAACAUAGGUGCUGAGCCAGUGACUAAACUUGUAGUAUUUUGUUGAGAUUAAUCCAAUGACUUGACAGUAAGGUAAUUACUUCUAUCAGAAUUGUUUACCUUUAAAGUGAAAAAACAAAACUAACGAAUACGACAGAACAUGGCUAUAGAGCAUUUUAAAUUUUUU